rnacentral:rRNA from 1 species
CAGUCGAGGGGUAGUGGAGCUUGCUCCAUGAGACCGGCGCACGGGUGCGUAACGCGUAUGCAACCUACCUUGAUCUGGGGGAUAGCCCGAAGAAAUUCGGAUUAACACCGCAUAAAAUCACAGUACCGCAUGGUACAAUGAUCAAAUAUUUAUAGGAUUGAGAUGGGCAUGCGUGUCAUUAGUUAGUUGGCGGGGUAACGGCCCACCAAGACCGCGAUGACUAGGGGAUCUGAGAGGAUGGCCCCCCACACUGGUACUGAGACACGGACCAGACUCCUACGGGAGGCAGCAGUAAGGAAUAUUGGUCAAUGGAGGCAACUCUGAACCAGCCAUGCCGCGUGCAGGAAGACAGCCCUCUGGGUCGUAAACNGCUUUUAUUCGGGAAUAAACCUACUUACGUGUA